AUACCGGGCCUUUUUGGGCUUGGUAAUUGGAAUGAGGGAGAGUUAAACGGACCAUCGAGUAUCCAUUGGAGGGCAAGUCUGGUGCCAGCAGCUGCGGUAAUACCAGCUCCAAUAGCGUAUAUUAAAGUUGUUGCAGUUAAAAAGCUCGUAGUUGGACUUGUGUGCGCUGUCCGCGGGUGGCCUGCGCCCAAAAGGGCGUUUCGGUUCGGCCCCGGUGGCGCCUUGAAAUCUGCAGCUGGGGGGACGUUGGCCUUAACUGGUCGGCGACCGCACGCCGGCUGCUCGGUUACUGUGAGAAAAUUAGAGUGUUCAAGGCAGGCAUUGGGUCAAUUGAAUACAUUAGCAUGGAAUAAUAAAAUAUGGCUCCUGCCGUAUUUUGUUGGUUUUGACUGGUGGGAGUAAUGAUUGAUAGGGACGGUUGGGGGUGCUAGUAUUGGGCGGCCAGAGGUGAAAUUCAUGGAUUCGCUCAAGACUAACUUAUGCGAAAGCAUUCACCAAGGACGUCCUCUUUAAUCAAGAACGAAAGUUGGGGGAUCGUAGACGAUCAGAUACCGUCGUAGUCUCAACCAUAAACUAUGUCGACUUGGGAUCGGCGGUAGUUUUUUCAUUAAGACACUGUCGGGACCACGGGAGAAAUCAAAGUGUCUGGACUCUGGGGGAAGUAUGGUCGCAAGGCUGAAACUUGAAGGAAUUGACGGAAGGGCACCACCAGGAGUGGAGCCUGCGGCUUAAUUUGACCCAACACGGGGAAACUUACCAGGUCCAGAGAUGUAGAGGAUUGACAGAUUGAAGCUCUUUCUUGAUCACUUCGGUGGUGGUGCAUGGCCGUUCUUAGUUGGUGGAGUGAUUUGUCUGGUUAAUUCCGUUAACGAACGAGACCUCAGCCUGCUAGUGUAGUCGGCUGGAUUGCCUUUGGCGAUCCGUGAUUUCGACUUCUUAGAGGGACAAUCGACGCGCAGUCGAUGGAAGUUUGAGGCAAUAACAGGUCUGUGAUGCCCUUAGAUGUUCUGGGCCGCACGCGCGCUACACUGCUGGGCUCAGCGAGUUUUACUUGGCCGAGAGGCCCGGUUAAUCUUGUGAAAUCCCAGCGUGCUUGGGCUCGCCUCCUGCAACUGGAGGCGCCAACGAGGAAUUCCUAGUAGACGCAGGUCAUCAACCUGCAUCGAUUACGUCCCUGCCCCUUUGUACACACCGCCCGUCGUUCCAUAAGAGUGAGGCAUCCGGUGAAUUCUCGGGAGAGCCUGGGCGUGGCCAGCAAUGGUCUGCUCGGGUUUGAACUUGCAUAAACUUGGUGCCUAUGAUUAGGG
rnacentral:rRNA from 1 species